GCGCACAGAAGCUCGGUGCUGGUAAGAUGGCAGCCAUGCACUGGGAGGCCAGACGGCGUCAGAGCUUGUUGGAUCGCAGGAUGGCAAGAGACAAACAGCAGCUGUUGCAAAAAAGUGAGAAGAGCUGCCGUGCAACUGAAUCCAAUGCAGCACAGGAACAACCAGCUGGAAACCAGUGUCCUCACUGCAACCUGCAGACACCCGUCUGUCAUGCUGCAAACAUCCCCAACAGAUAUUCAUCAUUGCAGUACAAACAGCAGUGGUGAGGGAAGGACAAUGGAAGGUGAUCGUGUACGUCUGCACUUGCAAAAGGGGGCUAACAUUGUCUUUGAAUGAUUUUUUUGACAUUGUAAAAGUAGGAGGAUGUUUGUUUUGACUUGAUGUACAUACAGACGUUACACAAGCACAUUGCCGUAAAGCAGUACUGCACUCAUAAACAUACUUGUAUCAUCAGUGUCCUCACAAAAGCCACUGAGGGCUGCUGUGGUUUGCUAGACUCCAAGUCCCCCCACACACACGCAUGCACAUACACUUUUUGUGUCCUUCUUGUCAGCGUUUUUCACCAAAAAUCUCAGAAUACGAGUGAAGCGUGGAAGGACAGAAAGAUUGUUCCUUCUGUCCAAGGAAAACAUCUACGCUUCACAAAUAAACACCAAGACACAUUUGAUACUUUUUAUUUUAAAGACACAUAAAAAUGGACAGCCUGACAUCUGUGGCAGAGCAAAAUACACCGAGGAGGCUCCUUUUCCAUCAUGAACAACCAGCAUCAUCUCUCAACAGAAGAGGAGUUUCAGUGGCAGAUUACUAUCACAUUCCUGCUCCACUGAUAGAGCAGAUCAUUCCUCCCCCACGCUCUGCGCCUUUUCAACACAGCAGAGGGAGAACCAUAAAAAUACACACAGGACUGGAUGACCUUAUCAUGUAUUAUUGAAUUUGAAGCCCACCAUUUUUAUUUAUUCUUAUUCUAUUUUCUUAUCUUUCCUAUCUUGUCUUAUUUGUUUGACUUUUAAGUGAUUCAGUUGAUUGUGACACGUUUGCAGAGCUGCUGGAAAUGUGAAUUUCUCUUCGAGAUAAAGUAUCUGUCUGUCUAUCUAUCUAUCUAUCUACUGUAUCUAUCUAUCUAUCUACUGUAUCUAUCUAUC